rnacentral:hammerhead_ribozyme from 1 species
AUCUAGCUGACGAAUCCCACAUAGGACGAAAAGCGCGUCCUGGAU